GUGAUUGUCACAGGAUGUGGCUCUGAAGAAUCCUGCGCUUAGUCUGGGCUGGGAAACAUGAGAUUCCCGGGCUGUUUUUCCAACGUCCGACUCGCUCCUCAGGCUGCUUGGAGGUCUCCCCGUUGCGAUUUGCUCCUUGCGCAGGGAAAAAAGAAUGGAAAGUUGCUGGUCUUCGAAAGGGGCGGACUUCGUCGCCACUUUCAGCGGCUCGUCGCCUGCUGAAUCCACAGCAGACAGGGUCUCACUAUGUUGCCCAGGCUGGUCUCAAACUCCUGGCCUCAGUCUCCUGCAUAGCUGGGAUUACAGGUGCAAACCAGCACACCCUGCUACUUCUCCCAUUAGGAGGGGAUUCAACUCAAUACGUAUUUAUCGAGAAUCUAUUAUGUAAAAUGCAGUGUUCACAGCAUCUUCACCAGGAGAAGAUUCUAUCUUAAGCAAACUCUUUUCUCAUGCAUAAGAAGCACCUCCUUACCUGUUAAAAGUUUAAUCAUGAGAUUGCAGGAAUUCAGUCACAUCUUCAGGCUCCACUUCUAAUUCUAUUUCUCUUGGUAUUUCCACCACACCUGCAGUGACUUCCUCCACUGAAGUCUUGAACCUCUCAAAGUCAUCCAUGAGGGUUGGAAUCAACUUCUUCCAAAGCCCUGUUAAUGUUUGUAGUGUUAUGAAAUAUAUAUACAUAUAGGUUUUCAUACACAGGAAACAGAAUCUCUUUGACCUUCUCUUGCCUUCCUUUUACCUGCCUUCCUUUCACCUACCCCAAAGCAGGACUUUAAUCUUCUGCUUUUAUAAUUGUGGAUCAUAAGACUUAUUUCAGAGAGGGUCCCAACCCAUGGCCUGGGGGAAGGAAUGCUGAUGUAAGGAAGCUUCCAUAAAAAUCCAAGAGGACAGCUUCCUGAUAGCUGAACAAGUGGAGGUUUCUGGGGAAUGGCUACCCGGGGAGGGCAUGGGAGCUGUGUCCCUUCCUCCAUACCUCUCCCUAUGCAUCUCUUCAUCUGGAUCCUUCGUGAUAUCCUUUAUAAUAAACUGGUAAAUGUAAGUGUUUCCUUAGUUCUGUGAGCCACUCCAGCAAAUUAUUGAACCCAAAGAGGGGGUCAUAGGAACCUCAACUUGAAGCUGGUUGGUCAGAAGUUCCAGAGACCUGGACUUGCAACUGGUGUCUGGGGGGAGGAGGGAGUAAUCUUGGGGACUGAGCCCUUUACCUGUGGGAACUGACAUAUCUCCAGGUAGUGUCAGAAUCGAAUUGGAGGAUACCCAGCUGGUCUCCACUGCUUGUUGGUGGGGAAAAUCCCCCAUAUAUUUGGUCACAGAAGUCUUCUGUGUUGAUUGUUGUGGUGUGAGAGCAGAGGACAAAUGCAGUUUAAGUUUUUCCAUGACAAUGUUGAUACUUUGACCCCUUCCUAUGACUCACAAAUGUUCUUUUUGCGGGCGGGGGGCAGACAAGUGCAGUGGCACGAUCUCGACUCACUGUAACCUCCACCUCCUGGGCUCAAGCCAUUCUCCCAUCUCAGCCUCCCAAGUAGCUGGGGCUAUAGGCAGGCACCAUCAUGCCUGGCUAAUUUUCGUAUUUUUUGUAGGGACAGAGCUUUGCCACACUGCCCAUACCUGGCCUCACAAAUGUUCUUAAUGGCGUUUAGGAUGGUAAAUCCUUUCCAGGUUUUUUUGUCUUGUUUUGUUUUGUUUUGUUCUUUUCCUUUAUCUAGUCAUCCAGAAGUAUCCAGAAGGUUUUCAAUUUCCUUUGCCCAGAUCCAUCAAAGGCAUCAUUAUCUAUGACAGCUAUAGCCUUACAAAAUGUAUUUCUGAAAUAUUAAGACUUGAAAGUUGAAAUUGCUGUGUGGGCUGCAGAAUGGAUGUUCUGUUAGCAGGCCUGAAAACUACUAAUCUUGUACAUCUCCAUCAGCGUUCUUGGGUGACCAGCUGCAUUGUCAAUGAGCAGUAAUAUUUUAAAAUAAACCAGUUUUUUUUUUUUUUUUGAGUAGUAGGUUUCAGCAGUAGGCUUUAAAUAUUCAGUAAAUCAUGCUGUAAAUGGAUGUGCUGUUGCUAUCCAGGCUUUAUUGUUUCAUUUACAGAGCACAGGCCGGGUAGAUUUAGCAUAAUUCUUAAGGGCCCUAAGAUUUUUUAGAAUGACAAAUAAGCAUUGAUUUCAACUUAAAGUCACCAGCUGCACUAGCCUCUGACAAGGGAGUCAGCCUGCCCUUUGAAGCUUUGAACCUAGGCGUUGAAAGUCCUAGAUGGUAUCUUCUUCCAAUAAUAUAAGGCCAUUUUGUUUGCACUGAAAAUCUGUUGUUUGAUGUAGCCUCCUUCAUCAAUGAUGAAGCUAGAUCUUCUGAAUGACUUGCUGGAGCUUUUACAUCAAGCACUUGCUGCUUUACCGUGUACUUUUAUGUUAUGGAGAUGGCUUCUUUCCUUAAACCUCAUGAACCAAGCUCUGCUAGCUUCAAACUUUUCUUCUGCAGCUUCCUCACCUCUCUCCACCUUCAUAGAAUUGAGAGAGUUAGGGUGUCUGGAUUAGGCUCUGGCUUAAGGGAAUGUUGUGGCUAGUUUGAUCUUUUAUCCAGACCACUAAAACUUUCUGCAUAACAGCAGUAAUGCUGUUUUACUUUCCUACCAUUUGUAUGUUCACUGGAGUAGCAUUUUAAAAUCCUUUCAAGAGCUUUUCCUUUGCAUUCACAACUUGGCUAACUUCUUGGCCCAAAGGCCUAGUUUUUGGCCCAUCUUGCUUUUGACAUGCCUUCCUCACUAAGCUUAAUCAUUUCUAGCCUUUUGAUUUACAGUGAGAGAUGUGUGACUCUUUCUUUCACUUGAACACUUAAAGGUGACUGUGAGGUUAUUAAUUGGCCUAAUUUCAAUAUAGUUGUGUCGCAGGGAAUAGGGAGGCCCAAAGAGAGGGAGAAAGAUGAGGGAACAGCUAGUCAGUGGAACACACACAACACUUAGUAAGUUCACCGUCUUAUAAGGAUGCAGUCCCUGGUGCCCCAAAACAAUUAAAAUAGUAACAUUAAAUAUCACUGAUCACUGAUCACUAUAAUAGAUAUAAUAAAAAUCUUGAAAUAUUGUGAGAAUUACCAAAUCUGAGACAGAGACAUGAAGUGAACACAUGCUGUUGAGAAAAUGGUGCUGAUAGACCUGCUUAAUGUAGGGUUGCCAAAAUUUUUUGAUUUGUAAAAAACACAAUUAUCUGUGAAGUAUAAUAAAAUGAGGUGUUAGGUUGUUAUUGUUUCUGUAACAAAAUUAUAUUUCUAUAGGUCAGAAGUUUAAAAUGGGUUACAGAACUACAUUUCUUCCUUGAGGCCACUAGGGAGAAUUUGUUUUUUGUUGUUUGUUUUUAGCUUCCAGAAGCUGCUUGCAUUUCUUGGCUUGUAGCCCUAUCCUACAUUUUCAAAGUCAGCAGCAUAAAUCUUCCAAACUCUUUCUCUCUCUGCUUUUGUUGUCAUACUUUUCUCUUCCAUUCUCCUGCUCCUUUGUUAUAAAGAUCCUGUGAUAACAUUGUGUGCACCUGGAUAAUACAGGAUAAUCUCCCCAUCUCAGGAUUCUUAAUUUAAUCAUAUCUACCAAAUCCCUUUUACCAUGUAAAAUAAUAUAUUCACAGGUUCUUGGAAUUAGGACAUGGAAAAAUUUGGGGAACCAUUUUUUAGCCUAUGGUAUGUAUGUGGUAUGUAUGAGUCAUUGGGGUAUAAAAAAUGAUUUCUGGUAGUAUAAUGAGAAAAAAUUUUAAGGUUUAAGUUUGUGUUUUAUGUGCUGCUUAGAGAUGAAAAAUGAAGAUGUCACUAGGUGAACUAUGUCAGUGGUUUCUGUGUUCGUUUCAGUAACUCCCAAGACAACUGGGGCUAUGUUCACUAACAUGCUGUUAAUUAUAUAUUGCUGCAUACAAAACUACCCUAAAAUUUAGCAGUGAUAUGGUUUGGUUGUAUCCCCACCCAAAAUCUCAUCUUGAAUUUUAAUCCCCGUAAUCCCCACAUGUCAAGGGAGAGAACAGCUGGAGGUAAUUGAAUAAUGGGGGUGGUUUCCCUCAUGCUGUUCUCAUCAUAAUAAGUGAGUUCUCACAAGAUCUGAUGGUUUUAUGUGUUUAGUAGUUCCUCCUGCAUUCAUUCUGAGUCCCACCACCUUGUGAAGGAGGUGUGUUGCUUCCCCUUCACAUUCCGCCAUGAUUGUAAGUUUCUUGAGGCCUCCCCAGCCAUGCAGAACUGUGAGUCAAUUGAACCUCUUUACUUUAUAAAUUAACCCAGUCCCGGGCAGUUCUUUAUAGGAGUGUGAAAAUGGACUAAUACAAGCACUUAAAACAAAAAUAAGUUAUUAUCUCACAAAGAUUUUGGGGAUCAGGAACUGGGAGCAGCUUAGCUAGGUGGUUCUGGCUCAGAGUGUUUCAGGAAAUUACAGUCAGAAUGUUGGCUGAGACUCCAGACACCUGAAGUCUUGACUAGCAUUGGAGAAUCUGUGCUCAAGAUGGUUCGCUUACAUGGCUGUUGGCAAGAGGUGUCAGUUCCUCUCUGGCUGUUCAUAGGAGAUCUCAGUUCCUUGCUACAUUAACAUCUCCAUAGGGCUUCUUGAUUGUCCUCAGGACAUGGUAGCUUCUUUUACAGUGAGUAAUCUGAGGUAGAAGCUAAAGCCACAAUAUCUUUUAUGACCCACCCUCAGAAGUCACACACUGUCACUUCUGCCACAUUCUAUGUACUAGAAAUAAGUUACUAAGUAUAGCCCAUACUCAACGGGAGAGGAAUUAGGCUCCACUGUGUAAAGGGAGGAGUUUCAAAGAAUUUGUGGACAUAUUUUAUAGAACCACCACAGCCUACUUGAAGAAGAACAACAGACCUUUUAAUCAUGGGAAAUUUUCUGGACAGAUAAAUAGAUUCUAGUGUUGGAAUGAUGUCAGCAAGAUGGUGGUAUAGGAGGUCACCUGCUUUUAUCCCCCAACAAUAAGAAUUCUUCACCCAUCCAGACAAAGGUCUCUUUGUGGAAGCCUCAGGAUUCAGGUAGAAAGUUGUGGAAGCCUGAUGGAGCCUAAGACCUAGGAGGGUGAUUUUGAGAGUGCAGACCCAUACCCAGUUGGCAGACCCAUCAACUGUGCUCCCAGAUUCAAGCCUGGGGAAACAGCCUCAUUCCCCAAGGGGCUUGGCAACAGCCCCUACUGGCCUUGAGGCUACCACCAAAACCAUCUGCCAGGGGGUUCAGGAAGAAUCAUGCACACCAGUGCCUCAGCAGGGAAGGCUCAUCUGCCUGCUGACAUUGGUCUUGGCAGCUUGGACCUGAAAGUUGCCUUGUGGCUCAGCUCCACCCCUCCUCAGCUGUGGUCCCAGCUUAGUACUAUUGCUGGGAAAUUGCUUCCCAAAGGGAAAGUUGCGCAUAUCUCACAGGAGUUACCCAUUCAUCCGAGCCUUUGCAAUGGGCUUUCCAGUCUCUGUCCAACAGCAGAUUCUGAGACCCAGUCUCAAGUCUGGCCCCACACCCAUCUAAGCCAAUGGGAUGGAUUUGCUGACCUCUGUUCCAUGGGGGCCCUUGAGUGGGCCCAGUCUCAGCUCCAGCCCCUCUUUCCACAUGUGGGUACUGUUCUGCCUGUGCAGGGAACUGCUGGGAGGGGUGUCUGUCCAGGCCACUGGGACAGGCUUCUGGGCUUGGGUCCCUGGCUAGCUUAUCUAUACAGCCUAGGUACCUUCCUUCAAUCUUCCUCAGGUCCAUCCUGGCUGGGGUGCUGUGUCAACCUCAAAGCCCUUGCAAAACUUAUGAUGAACCUGGGCUUAGGGCUCCCUCUAGUGCUGAAGUGGCUGCAACAGCCACAGGCUUGGGAAACACAAGUCACGCUGCUUAGAACUUCUAGACAGGCCUAUUGAAGUAAAACAGGCACAAAGCCAGAAUGCAAAGACUAGAAUAAAUACCUAAUACACAGACAUUGACGCACAUCUGCAAGCAUCCAGAGUAAGCGGGGAAAUUUGACCUCACCAAACAAAAUAAGAUGCCAGUGACUGACCCUAAAGGGAACUUCAAGAAAACAGAGAAACAAUUCAAAAAUUUACCAGAGAAAUUUAACAGAGAUAUUGCAAUUAAAAAAAAAACCAGAAGUCUAGGAGCUAAAAAAUACAAUGAAUAUUAAAAAAUAUUAGUAGAGAGCAUCAAUAGCAGAAUUAAUCAAGCAGAGGAAAGAAUCUGUGAACUCGAAGGUAGGUUAUUUGAAAAUGUGGGGAAAAGAGGGAUCAGACUGUUACUGUGUCUAUGUAGAAAAAAGUAAACAUAAGAGACUCUAUUUUGUUCUGUACUAAGAGAAAUUCUUCUGCCUUGAGAUGCUGUUAAUCUGUAACCCUAGCCCCAACCCUUUGCUUGCAGAGACAUGUGCUGUGUUGACUCAAGGUUUAAUGGAUUUAGGGCUGUGCAGGAUGUGCUUUGUUAAAAAAGUGCUUAAAGGCAGUAUGCUUGGUAAAAGUCAUUACCAUUCUCUAGUCUCGAGUACCCAGGGACACAAUACACUGUGGAAGGCUGCAGGGACCUCUGCCUAGGAAAGCCAGGUAUUGUCCAGGGUUUCUCCCCAUGUGAUAGCCUGAGAUAUGGCCUGGUGGGAAGGGAAAGACCUGAACGUCCCGCAGCCCGACACCCAUAAAGGGUCUGUGCUGAGGAGGAUUAGUAAAAGAGGAAGGCCUCUUUGCAGUUGAGAUAAGAGGAAGGCAUCUGUCUCCUGCUUCUCCCUGGGAAUGGAAUAUCUUGGUGUAAAACCUGAUUGUAUGUUCUGUUUACUGAGAUAGGAGAAAACUGCCUUCUGGCUGGAGGUGAGACAUGCUAGCGGCAAUACUGCUCUUUAAUGCACCAAGAUGUUUGUGUAAAGUCAAGCAGAAAUCUGGCCUACGUGCACAUCAAGGCACAGCACCUUUCCUUAAACUUAUUUAUGACACAGAGAUCUUCACUCACACGUUUUCCUGCUGACCCUCUCCCCACCAUUACCCUAUAUCCUGCUGUAUCCCCCUCUCCGAGAUGGCAGAGAUAGUAAUCAAUAAAUAUUGAGGGAACUCAGAGACCAGUGCCAGUGCGGGUCCUCCGUAUGCUGAGCGCCGGUCCCCUGGGCCCACUUUUCUUUCUCUAUACUUUGUCUCUGUGUCUUAUUUCUUUUCUCAGUCUCUCUUCCCACUUGAUGAGAAACACCCACAGGUUGUGGAGGGGCAGUCCACCCCUUCAGAAAAUAUACUGUCAUGGAAGAAACAAGAAAAAAUAAUGAAAAGGAAUGAAGAAAGCUUAUGGGAUUUAUAGGAUAACAUCAAAAGAGCUAAUGUAUGGGUCAUUGGAGUUCAAGGGGAAGUAGAGAAAGAUAAAGGAGUAAGAAACUUAUUUAAAGAAAUAAUAGCAGAAAACUUUCCAAACCUAGAGAAAGAUACAAUUAUCCAGGUACGAGAAAGUCAUAGGUCACCAAUCAAAUUUAAUCAAAAUAAGACCACCUUAAGACGUAUUAUAAUAAAAUUGUCAAAGGUAAAUGACAAAGAGAGGAUGCUGAAAUCAGCAAGAGAAAAUAACAACAUAAAAGGGACUUUUGCAGUACACUUAGCAGCAGACUUCUCAGCAGAAACCUGGUAGGCCAGGAGAGAGUAGGAUGAUAUAUUCAAAGUACUAAAGGAAAAAAAAAACCCUGUCCACUGACAAUAGUGUACCCAGCAAAGCUGUCCUUCAGAAAUGAAGGAAAAAUAAAAACUUACCCAAACAAACAAAAGUUGAGGAAGUUCAUCACUACUAGGCCUGCCUUACAAAAAAUGUUAAAGGGAGUUCUUCAAACUGAAAUGAAAGGAGCUAAUGAGUAACAUGAAAACAUCUAAAAGUACAAAACUCACUGGUAAAAGUAAAUAUAUAGUAAAAUUCAGAACAUUCUGAUAGUGUAAUGGCAGGGGGACCACUUAUAUCCUUAGUAUUAAGGGUAAAAUCUAAGACUUUAAAAAUAAUAAAUAUAAAAAUUAGCUGGGCAUGGUGGCACAUGCCUGUAGUCCCAGCUACUCAGGAGGCAGAGGUGGCAGGAUCACUUGAGCCUGAGAGGCAGAGGUUGCAGUGAGCCGAGAUUGUGCUGCUACACUCUAGCCUGGGCAACAGAGUGAGACCUUGUCUCAAAAUAAUAAUAACUAAAAUGCUUUUUAAGGGAUUUGCAAUAUAAAAUUAUGUAAAUUGUGACAUCAGUAAUCAAAGUUGUUAUCUGUUUAGUAUAACAUGUUAUGAAUAUGUUUUUGUAAACCUUAUGGUAACCACAAAACAAAAACCUAUGAUCAAUAUACUAAAAAUAAAAAGGAAUCAAAACAGACUGCCAGGGAGAAACACUUAACCACAAAGGAAGACAGUAAGAAAGGAAGAAAGAAAAGAUAUGCAAUACAAACUAGAAAACAAUUAACAAAAUGACAGUAAUAAGUUCUUACCUAGCAAUAAUUACCUGAAUGUGAAAGAAUUAAACUUUCCAAUUAAAACACAUAAAAUGGCUGAAUCUAUAUCUACAUCUAUAUCUAUCUAUCUAUCUAUCUAUAUAAAACCCAACUACAUGCUGCCUAACCCUAAUGUUGCGCCUCAAGGAACUAGAAGAGAACAAACUAAACCAAAAAUGAGUAGAAGGAAAAAAAAAUGAAUAGAAGGAAGGAUAUAAUAAACAUCAGAGCAGAAAUAAUGAAAUAGAGACUAAAAAAAUACAAAAGAUCAACAAAAGUUUUUUGAAAAGAUGAACAAAAUUGACAAACCUUUAUCUAGACUAAGAAAAAGAGAAAAGAUUCAAAUAAAUGAAAUCAAAAGUUAAAAGGAGAAAUUACAACUGAUACCAGAGGAUACAAAGAAUCAUAAGAGAAUAUUAUCAGCAAUUAUAUGCUAAUAAAUUAGAUAACCUAGAAAAAUGGAUACAUUCCUGGGCACAUAUAGCUUACCAAGAUUAAACUAUAAAAAAAAUAAAAUCCAAAUAGAACAAUAUUGAAUAAGAAGACUGAAUCAGUCAUAAAAAGUCUCCUAUCAAGGACAAGCCCAGGACCUGAUGGCCUUACUGCUGAAUUCUACCAACAUUUAAAGAAGAAUUAAUAAAAUUCUUCUGAAACCAUUUCAAAAAAUUGAAGAGGAGGGAAUUCUUUCAGAUUUGUUCUGUGAAGCCCACAUUACUCUAAUUACAAAACCAGACAAGGACACAACAAUAAAAAACUACAGGCCAAUAACCUGGAUGAAAAUAGAUACAAAAAUCCUCAACAAAAUACUAGUAUACAAAUUCACCAGCACAUUAAAAAUAUUCAUUAUGAUCAAGUGGGAUACAUCCCAGGAGUGCAAGGAUGGUUCAGUGUAUAAAAUCAUCAAUGUAAAAUAUUACAUUAACAAAAUGAACAAUAAAAUCCAUAUGGCCAAUUCAACAGAUGCAGGAAAGGAUUCAACAAAAUCCAACAUCUCUUACUGAUAACAAAUUAGGUAUAGAAAAAAUAUAACUCAACACAAUAAAGGCCAUAUUUGACAAACCCACAGCUAACAUCAUACUGAAUGGGGGAAUGUUGAAAGCGUUCAAGAUGUGGAACAAGACAAGGAUGCCCACUUUCACCACUUCUAUUCAACGUAGUACUGGAAGUUGUAGCCAGAACCGUUUGGCAAGAGAAAGAAAUAAAAGUCAUCCAAAGUGGGAAUAAAGAAGUUAGAUUUUACGUGUUUGUAGAUGACAUGAUCUUGUAUAUAUAAAACCUUAGAGGCUCCACCAAAAAACCACUGGAACCAAUAAACAAACUCAGUAAAGUUGUGGGAUACAAAAUCAACAUAUAAAAAUUAGUAGCAUUUCUGUAUGAUAAUGGAAAACUAUCUGAAAUAGAAAUCUAGAAAACAAUCCUAAUUAUAAUAGCUGCACAAAAUAAAAUGCUUAGGAAUAAAUUUAAUCAAAGAGGUGAAAUACAUCUACAAUGAAAACUAUGAAAUACUGAUGAAAGAAAUUGAAGAAGACACAAAUGAAUGGAAAGAUAUUCCAUUUAUUUUUAUGGACUAGAAGAAUUAAUAUUGUUAAAAUGUCAGUGCUUCCCAAAGCAAUCUACCAAUUCAGUGCAAUUCCUAUCAAAAUACCAAUGACAUUCUUCAUGGAAAUAGAAAAAAGAAUUCUAAAAUUUUUAUGGAACCACAAAAGGCUCCAAAUACCCAAAGCAACCCUGAGCAGAAAGGACAAAGUUUUGAAGGCAUCAUACUGCCUGACUUUAAAAUAUGUUACAAAACUAUAGUAACCAAAAUGGCAUGGUAUUAGCAUAAACAGAAAUAUAGACCAAUGGAACAGAAUGAGACCCAGAAAUAAAUCCACACAUUUACAGCCAACUGAUUUUCAACAAAGGUGCCAAGAACACACUUUGAGAAAAGGAUAGUCUCUUCAAUAAAUGGUGCUGGGAAAACUCAAUAUCUACAUGUAGAAGAAUGAAAUUAGACCCUUAUCUCUUACCAUAUAAAAAAAUCAACUCAAGAUAGAUUAAAGAGUUCCAUGUCAGCCCUGAGAAUAUAAAAUUAUUAGAAGAAGGCCUAGAGGAAAAGCUUCAUGACCUUUGUCUGGACAAUAAUUUUUUUUAAAAGAAAACCUCAAAAGCACGGGCAACAAAAGCAAAAAUAGACAAAUGGGAUCACAGCAAAUGAAAAAAGCAUCUAAACAGCAAAUGAAAUGAUCAAGAGUGAAGAGACAACCUACAGAAUGGGAGAAUAUAUUUCCAAAAUAUACAUCUGAUAUAUAAGGAACUUAAAUAACAGAAAAAAACCAACCUAAUUUAAAAAUGGACAGAAGACCUGCAUAGACAUUUCUCAAAAGAAGACAUACAAAUGGCCAACAGAUAUAUGAAAAAAAUGCUCGACAUCACUAGUCAUCAGGGAAAUGCAAAUCAGAACUACUAUUAGAUAUCACCUCACUCGUUAGAGUGGCUAUUAUUUAAAAAAAACAAAAGAUGAAGAUGUGGAGAAAAAGGAACCUUUACACACUCAUAAUGGGAAUAUAAAUUAUUAUAGCCAUUAUGGAAAACAGAAUAGAGGUUCCUCAAACAAUUAAAAAUGGAACUAUCAUAUGAUCCAGCAUAUGAUUUUGUGGGAUACAAAAUCAACAUAUAAAAAUUAGUGAUCAUAUGAUCAUAUGAUUCACUACUGGCUAUAUUUCCAAAGGAAAUGAAAUCAGUAUGUUGAGGAGAUACCUGUACUCUUGUGAUUAUUAUAGCACUACUCACAAAAGCCAAGAUAUGGAAUCAAUCUAAGUAUCCAUCAGUGGAUGAAUGGAUAAAGAGUAUAUGGUAUAUAUACAAAAUGGAAUAUUAUUCAGUCAUAAAAAGAACAAAAUCCAGUCAUUUGUGACAACACGUGUGAACCUGGGGACAUUAUGUUAA